rnacentral:tRNA from 1 species
GCUGGCGUAGUUUAUGGAGAAUAACCAUUUGUCGGGUGGUAGGUGACUUUUGUUCGUUGGUU